AUCUCUUUCUUUUAUUCUAGCAAUCUUUUUCUCCAGCAAAAUAGAUUUAUUUAGGCUUUGUUAGGCUGACACAGGUUAUAUGUUUUGUUGACAGAGUAAAGGUCACCUGCUGCUUGUGUAUGUCUGCGCUGAGCAUUGCCRUGUAUCCAAGCACUCUGCUAUCUGGUUUUCGUCAGCCUAUGGGAAAAAUCAGAGAGCUUUUCAUCUAAUCCCUUUGGAUAUCUAUCUUACCAUAUGACGAAUUGCAUGACUGAAGUGCAAACUUCCUUCCU